rnacentral:lncRNA from 1 species
AAGCAAGGCAUCAAAACCAGGACCCACACGCCCCCAGCAGGGAGGCGCAGGCGCGCGCGCGCGUGCGCACGCGUGAAUGCCCGCCAUAUCUAUCGCAGAUGCGGCACGACAUCCCGCCCUAUUUGUCUCACCAGACCACUACGCACUGGCCCCUUCUCAUGCAUCAGAUCAUAAUACAAGGGUGCCUUGCGAGCCAACCCGACACUCCCCACAGCCCGCAGGCACGCAAGGGCGCCGGCGGGGCCCCGCGCGCCUGCGCUCAGCGCGCACGCGACUACGCGCCCCGGCCAUACGCCGCUCGCCAACCUAGCACUUGGCCGCAAGUAGCUGAGACACAAGCAACUAAGAACCAGCUAGCACAAACCUGCCGAAACAAAUCAGCAAAUUUACGCCACCCACUUCUUGGCGGUGACCUCAGCCAGGUCGACCACGCGCUGGGAGUAGCCCCACUCGUUGUCGUACCAGGCCACGACCUUGACCAUGUCGUCGCCCAUGACCAUGGUCAGGGAGGCGUCGAUGGAGGUCGACUGGUCGGUGCACUUGAAGUCAAUGGACACCAGGGGGGCGUCCUCGACGUGCAGCACGCCCUUCAUGGGGCCGUUGGCGGCCUCGCGGAAGGCGGCGUUCACCUCCUCGGCGAAGGUCUUCUUCUCAACCUGUGGUUGAGCGGGAGCGCAGGACAGGACAGGAGGGUGGGUCAGUGACAGCCUCAAGACAAGUUACUGAGGCGUGCAGCAUGCCACCGGCAACACGAAAUAUACAAGAAUUCGGUAAGCGGCGCCCACUGUCCAGGUGUAGUUGUUACAGCGCAAGGGGAGGCAGUCUCACCUGGACGACCAGGUCGACGACCGACACGGUGGGGGUGGGCACGCGCAGGGCAAUGCCGUUCAGCUUGCCCUUCAGGCUGGGCAGCACCAGCGACACGGCCUUGGCGGCACCGGUGGUGGUGGGCACAAUGUUCAGGGCGGCGGCGCGGGCGCGGCGCAGGUCGCGGUGGGACGCGUCCAGCAGGCGCUGGUCACCGGUGUAGGAGUGGGUGGUGGUCAUCGUGCCCUUGACAAUGCCGAACUUCUGCUCCAGCACCUGGGGUAGGCAAGGGAGAGGGGAAAGGGGAAGGGCCGGGUCAGAGACAGGUGAGCUGACAAGACAAGAUAUCCCAGGGCACUCGGACCCGCAACACCGUGGACGCUCUUGCCGCCCCCCGCAUUUAUUCCUGACGAAAAAGCCACAGCAAGCAACAUGCGUAAGCUUCCUUACCUUGACGAAGGGGGCCAGGCAGUUGGUGGUGCACGAGGCGUUGGAGAUGAUGGGGUACUCGUGCUUGUAGUCGCCCUCGUUCACACCGACCACGAAGGUGGGGAUGUCCUUGUCCUUGGCGGGGGCGGUGAUCAGCACCUUGGAGGCACCGGCCUAUAGAUGUGUGGGGCAAGGCAGGGGGGUCAUGUCAGCAGGGGGAACGAGCUCAAUGGGCGAGCGAGCGCCGUUACUCGUAACGCCAACACCCCCCCACUUGCUAGCGAGCAGUGCCGACCCAAAACGUGCACACCCAAAACCCCCGUCGCUUCCCGGCCCAGAGAUGCGCUUUAAUUGCGGCAUGCUCACCUGGAUGUGCUUGCCAGCGCCAACCUUGUCAAUGAAGACACCAGUGCCCUCAAUGACCAGGUCGAUGUUCAUCUCCUUCCAGGGCAGCUGCAGGGGGUCGCGGCUGGACACAAUCUUGAUCUGCUUGCCGUCCACCGAGAUGUGGCUGUCGUCGACGAUCUUAACAUCGGCGGCGAACGUGCCCAGGGUGGAGUCGUACUUCAGCAGGUGGCUGGCCUGCUUGACACCGCCGCUGUCGUUGAUGGCAACCACGUCCAGCAGGGUGUUCUGGCGACCGUGCCAGCAGCGCAGGAAGUUGCGGCCAAUGCGACCGAAGCCGUUGAUGGCCACGCGGAUCUUCUUCUCCGCGCGCACGUCGACGACGGCGCGGGCAGCCUGCGAGCGCGAUGCAAGAGAGUAGGAUCGGUGAACGUUGACCUGGCAACCCAACUAUCUUAUUUAUCAACUGAUCACACACGUAGCAGAAGCCCGCCGAAGACCCAGCGAGUGCUGGGCUGUGCGACCCAAGAACCCAAGUCCGCAAGCAAAAGCCGAGCCAUGCCCACCUUGGCGCGGACGCCAGACUUGGAGGACACGGCGCUGCCGGUGAAGGCGCUCUGCAAGCGCAAGAAACAAACAGGCGCGGUCAGGACUAGAAGAAAGAGGCGCCUGAGGCGCUUGGGUCGGGAUCACAUCUGGAAGUUCUGGGUGACAAGUCGCUGGUCUUUGGAUAUGUAUUGCUGUUCGGUAUUGAGUGCACUGCGCACCUUCUGCAUCAUGGCGGCCAUUUUGGACAGGACCCGUAAGAGUACCGAGCUUGCUGAGCCCGCGUUGCUUUUAGCCGGUCGGCUCGGCUCGCUCGGUGCCGUACGGGUGGCGACCCAUGCAGCCUUAUCGGCGUCGUACCUCGCGUUCGCCGCUGAACGAGCGCGCGGUGCCCCCUGGAUGAUGCUUGUAAAUCUAGACCCACUCACUGCGACGCGCGCGGGGGUGCGCGGGAGCGACCGGCGCGCGGGGAAGCCCCGGCAUUCUAGUCAAGUUUUGCGGGACUCGCGGCCGACCGCAUUUUAACCAUGGCAAUGACUUAUUGAUGCGAUAGGAGAAACAUCAAAAUUUUCUCUAGGGGUCGACGAGCGCUGCGCGCACGCUGGUGCUUGCACUCAGCUCGAGAACCCGCGACACUCGCGAAAGCCACGCUUUAUUCUUUAUCAUGCUUUCUUCUAUUGCUGCGUAAGUAUUCUACUCCCGGCAAGCCUGGGAAGCAUGCAAGGCAGUCAGGGCUUUCGCGUUCGCGUGGACACGACGCUGUAAGGCGCGAAAUAUACAUCUCACUCAGAAAAGAAUGCGGGGACUGUCCGUUCUAAAGGAGCGCUGGCGGCGUGAGAAGCGACCGCGAGUGCCCAUCGUGCAACAUCUCUAAGGAGCGCUUGGGGAGACACGCCGUGCUGUGGACUUGACCGGGCACACGACGGGUGUUCAGGGCGUGCAAAGACAUCGCGAACUGAUCUUGGGAACUGCGUGACCUUUCGCCUAUCAUGGUGCGGCCAGCGUGGAAGGGCGGGACGCGCCGUGUCGGCCCGACAACGCCGGGACACGCCGCUACUUGUUGUCAGGGUGGGAGCGCUUGCACUGGGCGUCCGUAGAGGUGCAUCUGACAGGUAGCCGCCAGACGUCGGGGUGCAUGCGUAGGGGCAGUGAGGGCUCCAGGGCGUGGCUCCAGGGUGUGGCGGUGCAAAGCGCUCGCGGGCGGCUCGCGUACCACGGUGCUGCUCAAGCCCGUAUCUUGGGAUGACAAAGGCAACGGAUGACGGCGACAGUUGGGUGACAUCAGCGGGCCAUGCGGUGGACUGUUGGUGGACGUGACGCCAUGCGGCUAAAGACGGUGGGGCAAAACAUGUGGGUGCCCAAAUGCUGUACAGCAGGGGGCUGUUGUACAUAGCACUGCAUAGCAGAACUGCCUUGCAGGGGGUUGCUACUUGUCCUUGGUUCUCAUGGGAUGGUGCAAGCAACUGCCCUCUGCCCCCACAACAGCAGCUUGCAAUCAGGCGCAGCCGCGCGCGGCAGGGCUGCUGGGCAUCCAGUCACGCAGCCGCACCCCCGGUCCUGCCUGGUCACAUCCGCCUGCCUAGCCGGCUUCCCAGGCGUUGCCCGCUCGGUCGCGUGGGGGCUUAUGGGCGUGAAGGAGGGCAACUGUGUGACGCGGCUGAGUUAACAGCUCGACAUGCAGUGGCGGGAAGCCCCCAUGAAGGCGCCAGCGCGUGGUGGGCUGCAGCCUUCUCCAGGGGAGGCCCUGCCUCCCAAGUGGCUGCGUGCGGUCGCCACCGCCCCAAGCUGCCACCAGUGCUCGUAUCUUGUAGAUGCCCUCAGGCACCCGGCAUCUACACAUGCGUAGAUGACCCUGACCGCGGCAUCUACACUUAAGCCCCCAAGCCCCCCAAAACGUCUACGCUUCCCCCAUUUUUGCGCCAAAACCGGCCAAAACUGUCUACACUGCGUAGAUGCGUGGCACCCAAACCCAAAAAUUUUUCUCCGCCUUCGGCGGAUUUUGGGCAGAUUUCUACAGUGUAGAUGGAAGAUACGAGCACUGGCUGCCACCUGCAUAAUCCUGUGCGCCCGCGAAGGGGCAUCAUGGUCUUGCAGCUGGUAGCAACGGGGAUGGGCACGCGACCCACGAGCGCGGAGGCUGCAGCGCACGGCGCCCCCGGUGCACCCGUGCUGGGCGCGAGCUUCUCCUAAGCCACGGUGUUGAAGCACAUGACUUGUGGCCUUGAGAACGCAUACAGCUGGAAUUGCCACGGAUGCGGCGACAUUGGGACUUGCCAGGUCAGCCAGGUCCAGGGGGGCUCCCUGGCCAGGUCAGCCCUGUCCAGCCCUUGCGUUACUGCGGUCCCCGCCUUCUCGGGUGCGUCCGUGCUCCAUGGACCUGCUGUCGCAUGUGCGAUUGUUUGGAAGGGCAAUUGCACAGCAGAGCGGCGGUGCGUCGGGGGGUGGGGUGGGAGCGGGGGGGCCGGGGGGGGGGGGGGGCUGGGCCGGGGCUGCGCUGGCACCGGAGUCCUGCACCGGGCCUGGGAUGAUCAUGUGCGCCCAUUCUGGAAGCCUAGCGCCACCGCGCCUGCUACAGUGUUUCGCACAAUCACAUCAGCAGCGAUAACUCUGACCCAAUCUCUCUCUGAAGCUAGCUAGCCCACGCGCUCACUCAGUAAGCUCUGUGAACUCUAAACCGUGCCUCCACGAAAAGGUUGUGCCUUUGGAAUGUUAUACCAACGUAUAGCAACGGAUGCGGACAGUAUAGAGUUGCAGCGCUGGUAAAGACGGUGGAGAACAAUGGGAAGUGCAUGCACAAAAGCAGGCCGGGAGGAAGCUGCCUUCCUCAAGGCGGCAAAGGAUGGUGACUGUGGACAAGUACAGCAGGUGCAGCGGGGCGGUGUCGCGGGAAGCACGUAAUUGAAUGCCGUUCAUGUAGCAGCGCGCUUGCGGAUGCGAUGAGUGGCUAGCUUCAUUUCAUAUUGCACAUUUCUACACCCCAACUCGCGCGGGGGGCGUUCGCAGAGGCCAGAACUUUAACCACCGCAUCAUGCUGGGCUGCCUCUCGCAGGCCAUCCUAAAGCACGUGGACUGGGGCUACAGGGCCCAGACGUGGAAUGGACAGAGCGUCUUCCACCUGGCAGCGCGCUAUGGGCGAGUGGACGUAUUGGAGACGGUGGUGGAGGCGGUCCGGUAUAAUCCCGCUGGACCGGACCAGUGGAAGAAGCUGCUACGGUGCGUUUUGGAAGUGCGAAGCGGGGAGGGACGACGAUGUUUAGCGUGGCGGGGCUCGGCAAGCGCAGGAGCCCGGGCGGGCCCGGGGGGCGAAGCGCGUGUGCGUGUGCAGGGUUUCGUGGGCAGGUUGGGCCGUACCUGGUUGCGCGUUCGUAGUUUUUUCCUGGGAGCGCGGAGUACGGCCCAGUAGAGCACCCCUCGCCCAGCCACACAGCGCCUGGCGCAAUCGCGAGCGGCUCGUGAGGCGAGCUUGCACGAACGGCGCUGCGCGCCUGCGGGGCCUGGGGUCGGGGUGGCGAAGGGAUGAAGGAUUUUGGAGAGAGGGGCGUGGCCAGCAGCCGGCCGGCACGGGGCAAGGGUGCCGCGGCCCAACCAGCCUCCAGAGGUUUGAUGUGGGUCGGGUCUGAAGCUGCACGCAGAUGCCGUGCUGUGUUCGGAGAUUGCGCAGCUAACGGGGUUGGCUAGAAGGAAAGGCAGGCAGUGCAAAGGCGGGUUGAGUGGGGGCGCCGCGCAGCAUGUUGGAAGGCGCCUGGGGGCUGACACACGGGCGCGAAUCUGAGGGGGCUGACGGAGCGGGUUGGCAGGGGGCUGUGGGGUAGGGGUGCCGGGCUGCGGGUGUCGCCGUGUCAGGUGGCAUGCGUGUGUGUGUGUGUGCCUGAUGCGUGGUCCAGCACCCGUGGUCCGCCGUGUGGCGCCGCGGCGCCGCCUGAGCUGUCCUCGCGGCCAGGCGGCCGGCACUUGUGUGCGUGUGUGUGUGGUGUGUGUGUGUGUGUGGGGGGGGGCUUGGCAGGAACCUAGGGCUCCAGUAGGCAUGAGAAUGAGCGCGCAUGGGGCGGCGCUCUCACGGCCGUCCCCCCGCCGCCCCCACAUCCCCGCACCCAAUCCCCACCCCAACCCCCUCCCCCACCGCAGGAUGGGCCACUCCACGGACGCCAUUCUGAAGGCCUACGCCAACCUGCAGGUGCGCGCGCGCGCGCGUGUGUGUGUGUGUGUGUGUGUGUGUGUGUGUGUGUGUGUGUGUGUGUGUGUGUGUGUGUGUGUGUGUGUGUGUGUGUGUGUGUGUGUGUGUGUGUGUGUGUGUGUACAAGCGUGGCACGGCGCUGUGUUAGGACACGAGGAACGGUGCCGUGUGUGCGUUGUGGGUGUCGGGCCGGGAAACAGACCGCGCCAUCAUGUGUUGGAAAAGCAUAAAAAGGGGCAGGGUCGGCAUUGUGCAGGCGAAUGUGCAAGCAAAGCGGGGGUAUCUUUACGAGUGUCCGUUCGUGGUGGGCUCUGGGCACGUGUGGGGCUGGCGCCGCGAACACUGCUGGCAGUGCGCCCUGUGAUGCCAGGGGCCGGGCGGCUGGCGGCGCUGUCGGCCUUGAGGGCUUAGCUCCUAGCUAUGUCCUCCCCGUCCUCCCGUUGUCUUGAGCCUUUGCCGUGUGGUCCGCUCCGCCUUCUCGCUCCACCGACCCAUCCUCUCCCGACUCCUCUGCGGUCGGUCAGUCAUUCAUGCUUAGAGCGCCUCCCGUCCCUGCCUGUUCUACCUCCCUGCCUUCCUACCGGCUCCCCUCCCCGCCUCCCCACCGCCUCCCUGCCUCCCCACCACUUCCCUCCCCACCACUUCCCUCCCCAUCACGUCCCCCCAUGCCCCCCCCGUCCCCCUGUCCCCCUGUCCCCCUGUCCCCCCCCCACCCAGGACGCCCGCUGCCAGACGCCGCUGCACAUCGCCUGCAUCUACGGCAAUGCUGACGUGGCGGCGGCGCUCAUCAAGCUGGGCGCCAUGCCCUGGGCCUGGGACGAGCUGGGUGAGGGCGUGGUGGAGGGAAGGGUGGGGGGGGGGGGGAAAGAGAGAGAGAAAAGGGAAGAGGGGAGUGGCAAGGUUAAGACAUUUGGGGGGAGGGGUAGCCGGUCAUGUGGAGAACGGGGUGGUUACAUCACAAGCCGACAUCCGUAGGGAGUCGAGAGUCUGGACACCCGACCCGGCCCCGCCCACAACCCACCCGCCCCUCCCCCCAGUGUUUUGACAUUGCAACUCCCUCUUCGCUACACUUCUCUGCACCAAUCCUUGCACCGGGAAGGGGUGGGGGAGAGUGAAGAGGGGGUCGCAAAGAUGGUUGGGGUGUAGCCGGUCAUGUGAAGAAACGGAAUGAGGUAAAGCAGUAUGCUGACGUCCGGAGGCUGGAGACCCGACCCGACCCUCCCACAUCCCACCACCUGCCCCCGUCUACCACUUCCUUAACUAGUCAUGCAUGUAACACCCCCCUCCCCCCAGGCGGCCGCACUCCGCUGCACUACGCCGCCAGCAUGGGCCACGUGGACGUCAUCCGGGCGGUGCUGGCCGCAGCCGGCCCCCCGCCCAGCGGCGAGGCGCUGCGGCGGCCCAACACCAGCCGGACCAAGUGAGGGAACCGGGGGAGGGAGGGAAGGAGGAUUUGGGAAAGGAGGGCGGAUUUGGGGUGGCAGGUGCCUGGGGCCGGGGAUGGGGGCGGGGGCGGGGGCGGGGGCGGGGACGGGGGGCGGGGUGGGGGGCGGGGAACUGGAUGUGGGCGCAUGGGGCGUGCGGCGGGGGAUGGGGGCCGGGGCUUGGGUGUGCUGUCCCUGACAUGUACACACACGCGGUCUGCAAACACAAACACACGAACACGCAUUGUGCUAUCCUAACACACAAACGCACACACUGCGCGCACACACAGGCUGGUGGACAUCUGCAACGACUCGGGCUACACGCCGCUGCACUACGCGGUGAGGGUGGGGUGGGUGUGGGGAGUGGGGUGGUGGGGUGGGUGGGGUGCAAUCCCAAAGAAACCAAGACCCAGAACCAGCCCUGGGGGUGGAGUGGGAGUGGGAGUGGGGCCGCACGGGCAGCUGUUACAGGGGGCAGGGUAGCGGGUGUGUGUAGCCCGCUUGGAUCGAUGGGCCCAAGAAUCCAAGGUGGGCAGAGGUGGCGAGGCGUUAGCCAUGAGCACCCCGCAAACUCAGCACAACCCGCCCACCCAUCCUCCCACCCCCUCUACCACUUCCUUAACUAGUCAUGAAUGUAACCCCCUCUUUAAUACACACCGUCGGCAUGAAUAGCUACCCCAUAACCAGUCGUGCACGCCCCCCACCCCUCCCGCCCUCCCCACUCCCAUUACCCGCACCCUCCCGCUCCCCCCCUCCUGCUCCCCCCUCUCCCCCCCCAAAAAGGUGUGGGCCGGCAACACCGCCUCCAUCCGCGCGCUGGUGAGCUACGAGGCGUCGCUGUCGGCUCGCAACGUGGCGUGCGGCAGCGACUGGGUGGUGUCGGCGCUCAAGUGCACGCCGCUGCACCUGGCGGCGCACAAGGGCAACGCGGCCGUGGUGAAGCUGCUGCUCAGCGCCUACGUGAGUGUUGGUGUGGAGGCGGGGGUGGGGUGGAGGGGGUGAGGGGGUGAGGGGGUGGAGGGGUGGGGAUGGGGGGGGGGUGUUCAGGGGGAUGGAGGGGGGGGGUUGGGGUGGAGGGGUGGAGGGGUGGAGGGGGGGUUUAGGCGUGGGGUUGAGGGGUUAGGGGUGGGGGCGGGGGUGGGGUUGUUAAGGGAUAGCGCUAGGGAGGAUUCACGCAGGGCAGGGCAGGUGGCUUGUGUUGUGGAGGGAGAGUCAGCUGCACGGUAUUUCCAAGUCGAGGCCCAGAACCGGAAACCACUCGCAAGCUUCGUCUGCGUCGUCACCAGUACCAGUUGCCUGACUCAGCCAUCCCCACAACCCCGUCCAUCCGCCCCCGCAGGUCCAGAGCCAGGUGCCGCAGGGCUCCGAGCCGCCGCCCGUGCACGACCGCCGCCGCCGCGACCCGCGCCGCCACGUCAACGCCGCCCGCCAACUGCCGUACCACGUGGCGGUUGCGCGCGGCCACAACCACCUGGCCGAGCUGCUACACCCCGACGUGCCGUUCAGUUUUAUUCUGUCGCCCGCCGAGAUGGAGAGUACGGCAAGGCUGUACGGCGUCACGAAACUUGCCGUACUGGCGGCCAAGGUCCUGCAGGCCAAGCUGGUGUCGGACAUUGACGAGGCGCUGGCGGCGCUGGCGGCGGCGCCGGGCCGCGGCGGCGGCGGCGCCGGCAGCGCCGCUGCCGCCGGUGGCGGAGGCCUCGGUGGCGGCGGCGGCGGCGGCACGUUCUCUCGGGCGCGGUCUGGGAGCAUAGCGGCGCUGAGCGGCGCGGUGGCGGCGGCGGCGGCGGCGUCCAUGCGCGAGCGGUCCGUGCAUGGCUCCGUGCACGGCGGCGGCGGCGCGCUGGGGGCGCUGGCCGGCGGCGUCGGCGGCGGAGGCGUGCCGACGGCAGCGGCGCUGGCGGCGGCGGCCUCCGCCAGCCUGGACGCAGUGCUGGCGGCGUCGGCGGCGGCCGCCGGCAAGGAUCCGGCACGGAUCCUGGCGGCGCGCGCGUCACAGGAGAAUGCUGCCGCCGCCGGCGGCUCGCCGGCCACCGCCAUAGCCGUCAGCCCGGUCGCGACCGCCAUGGCGGCGGUCACAGGCGCCGGCGCGGCGGCGGCGGCGGCGGCGGCGGAGGCCAACGGCCAAGGCGGCGGCGGCGGCGGCGGCGUGAAGGGGGCGUCUGGGACGUCGUCGUCUCCGCCGUCGGCUGGGUCGUCGGGGGAUGCGGACCCGCUGACUGUGGAGCCCAUGCCGGUGCGUGGGGGCGGGCGUGGGGGCGGGUGCAUGGGGGUGCGGGAGAAGGAGUGGGUGCGGGUGCGGGGGCUGGCGGUUUGCGCCCUUCCCAUGAGGACUGAGCAUGGGUGGGGUCGGGUGCGGGCGUUGGGGCUGCCCAGCCAUGGGCGGUGUUGCGUUUGGGAUUGGGAGCUGGGCGCUUGCGCCGUGUGCUGGGACUGUGGGUUCCGCCUGUGCUGAGCCGUUUGCCGGCAGCUCCGCAGCUCCGGCAACGCCACCACCGGACCGUGUACGCACCACCACCACCGCCUGCUCCCGCGCACCACUGACCCCUCCUCCUCGUGCGGGCGCCGCUCACUGACGUCACACGCACACACCACUGACCCCUCCUCUGACGCCCCCCGCACACACAGGACGCCAUCGCGCGCGCCCGCGCCUCCGGCGAGCCCCUGGGUGCCGCCGCCGCCGCCGCCGCCGCCGCUACCGGCAUCAGCGCCCAACCGUCGCUGGGCCAGCCCGGCGCAAGUGCAAGUGCAGCAGCACUGCACAGCCCCGGUGCUACCAGCCCCGCCGGCGGCGCGCAGGCGGCGCCGCUGCCGCUGCCGCCCGCGCCCCUGUCGCCGUUCCUGCCGGCGGCUGGCGCCGCCGGCGGCCUUUCGGCUCCCACCUUCAACGACGGCGCCUCCGCCUUCGCCAUGUUUGCCGCGGAGCCCUUCGACGACCCGGCUGCCGCCAAGGCGGCGGCGGCGGCGGCCGCCGCCGCCGGCCAGACGCCGCCGCUGGCGGCGGCGGCCGCUGCGCCGCCGCCGCCGCCGGGCACUGGGCCGCUGCCGCUGCCGCCCGCUGGCAGCCUGGCGUCGGCGCAGCGCAACCGGGCGCAGGUGGUUGCGGCGGGCGGCGGCGGCGGGAGUCCCGACCCGUCGGCCUCGGCGGCGGCCGGCGCGCGGCGGAGCCGGCUGCUGGGCGGUGGCGGCGGUGGCGGCGCCGCCGCCGCAGCAGGCGCCAACGGCGUCGCUGCCAAGGUGCGCGAGAGCGUGUGCUUUCUUUUCGGCGCCUGGGGUCGGGCAGGUUGUGGUUCGAGUCAGGGUAAUUUGGGCAAGCAGGGGGGCACCCCGUCCCACCCUCCGAAUGCGGGUCGGUAGUCGCAUGCAUGAUACGGUAAAGGUCCCUUGAUGGAGUUUUCCCGACCCGCUCAUUACGCAUGUGCCCAUGUACCCCGUGGGCCGCACCGCACGCAGGCGCCCGGCCGCUCCCGCAGCCUGCGUAGCCUGCUCACGGGCGGCCGCCAGCGCCGCGCCGGGCCGGGGCUGGGCACGGUUGGCAGCGGCCGCGUCGGCGGCGGCGGCGGCGGCGAGAUGGGCAUUGCGUCGGACCAGGUGGGGAGGGUUCGUGGGAUUCAGCAGGGCUGCCGAGGGGGUUUUGUUGUGUUUUGUUGGGGGCGGGGCGGGGCGAGGCGGGGCGGGGCGGGGCGGGGCGGGGCGGGGCUGGGCUGGGCUGGGCGGGGCGGGGCGGGGCGAGGCGAGUGGCAGGAGCAGGGUUUCGUGUGUGCCCUUUUUGACACUACGAUGUCAUCUGACACUUAUAACUUCGCUGACGUGGUCACAGGACCUGGAGGACGCGGACGAGCUGGAGGACAUCCUGUUCGCCAUCCAGCCACACGACCAGGCAGAGGCAGCCGCCGCCGCAACCGCCGCCGCCGCCGCCGCCGCCGCCGCCGCGGGCGCCGCCACGCCAAGCGCCGCGCCGGCCCUGGCCCCCGGCCCGGUGCCGCAGAAUCCGGAGGGCUCGGUUGCUGGCGGCGGCGGCGGUGGCGGCGGCGGCGGUCUGUGGGGCCGCCGCCGGACCGGCGUGGCGCCGUCGACAGGCGGCGGCGCCGGCACGGAAGCCGCGCUUCUAGCCGAGGCCUCCCGUAGCGGCCGCGGCGUGCGACAGCCCCACCCAGGCGCCGCGCCGGACUCGCCGCAGGCCGGCCGCUCCGUUCGCGGCGGCGGCUUCUGGCGGCGGCGGUCCGGCACACUGCCCGCGCCGGCGUCGGCGGCGGCGUCGCCGCCGCCAGCGGCGGCGCCGCUGGCGGUGGCUGCCGCAGACCCGUCCUUCCACACGGAGCCCAGCGGCCACGAGGCGAGCCGGCAGCUGUCUUUCCAGGGCGCCAGCGGCGCUGCCUGCAGCGCGGCCGGCGGCGCUACUGUGCAGCCGCUGCCCGACGCCGCCAGCAUCAUCCGCUCGCGUCUGUCCAACGACGCCGCCGCCGCCGCCGCCGCCAACACCAGCGGCGGUGCGCCCGCCAGCCCGACCACGGCGGCGGCGACGGAGCGCAUCGCCGCCACCAUCGCAAACCUGGCGGGCGCCGGCGCAGCCGGCGGCGCAGCCGCCGGCACCGGCGGCGCCGGCGGCGCCGCCGCCGCCAUGGAUCUGGAUCGCGCGGUGGCGGCGAUGCUUGCCAACCUGGCGGAGGCGCCGCAGCAGGUGCUGCGCCGCUACCGGCUGCUGCAGCUGACGCAGGGCGUGGACCUGCAGGACCUGCUGCGGGACCACCAGGAGCUGGCGGCGGCGGCGGCGGCGGUGGACGCGGCGGCAGCGGCGGCGGGGCUGCCGCCGGCGGCGGCAGCCGGCGGCGCAGCCGGCACAGCCGGCGCGGCCGGCGCCGGCGGCGCCGGCGCGUACGCGCCGGCACAGCCGCCGGCGGUGCUUGCGAGCGCGCUGCAGCGGGCGCGCUCGGACGCAGAAGGGCUGAUGCGCGGGGCGGUGGGGCAUGGCUGGGUGGACCGGUCCUCCCGCGCCGGCGGCGGCGGUGCCGCUGGCGCCGGCAGCGGCGCGCUGCAGGGCCAUGGCUCCUACCGCGUCGGCGGCGGAGGCGGCGACGCAUCCGCCCGCGCCGGCUCCGGCGGCGGCGGCGGCGGUGGUGGCGGCGGCGGCGGUGGUGGCGACGCGGCGGGCGGCAGCGCUUUCCUGGAGCACCGGGUCACGUGGCACGGCCGCGGGGGGCCCGCAAUGGCAGACACGGCGGUGCCGCUGGGCGCGUCGCCGCCAAGGGCGCUCACCGCCGGCGGCGACGGCAAUACUGGCAGCGGCGGCGGCGGCGGCGGCGGCGAUGGCCUGACGCCCGCCGCCACCGCCGUCGCCGCGGAGCUGAGCCCCUUCGCCUCGGUGGCCGCGGCGGCUGCGGCGGCGCCCUCCCCGGUGCCGGCGCCAGCCGCCUGCCACGACCUGCUCGCCUUCACGGCCCCCGUCAUGCCCACCUCGGCCUCGGAGGCGCAGCCAACGCCGGCCGGCGCAGCCAGCCCUAGCACCGCUGCUGCCGCUGCAGGCGCAGCCGCGUCGCCGUUUGCCGCCGCGGGGAUCCUGACGCCCGCCGCCAGCGGCACUCCCGCCAGCGCCGCGGAUGCGGGCGGCCGCACCCUGUCCCGCCAGCCCACCGGCACAGGCUUCGCCGCCGCUCCCGGCGCCGCCGCCACUGCCGCCGCCGCCGGAGGCGCCGGCGCCGGCGCCGCCAUGGCUGGGACGCUGCUGCGCGCGCUGUCGUCGCAGGCCGCCAGUGAGAGUGGCGAGGGCGUGUGCGGCGUGUGCUUUGACCAGCCCGACGUGCUGGCCGUGACGGGCUGCGGGCACCGGCUGUGCACGGACUGCAGCCGGGAGCUGUGCAAGCUCAACACCUUCAAGCCGGCGCUGUGCCCCUUCUGCCGCGGCCUCAUCGGCGGCUUCAAGCUGGUGAAGCAGUGAGCGGCGCGGCGGCUGGCAGAGGUUUGGGGGUGGGGGCGGAGGUGUAGGAGGUGUAGGUGGAGGCGGGGGUGGGAGCUGCAGGUGUUGGCUGGAAGAAGACGCGCGGCGACGUGCCGCGCGCGUUCAGAAAAGGGCUAGGGGGCCGUGGAGGUGGACGAAGUGGUGGUGGUGGUGGUGGUGGUGGGGCAGGGGCCGCGGAGGGAUGGGAUGCAGGAGCGCAGGAGGGGGUUCAGGGAGCAGCAGGGGGCGCGCCGCCAUUGCGGCUGCAGUACAGGCCUGGCAUGCACGUGCAUGACGUUAGGCAUAUCACAUGAUGGCAGACAUGCAGGCGGGCGGACAGAGCUGGGGUUGUGUGACUGGGCUUGUGGCCUCAGCGGGCCAGGCCGCAUCUGUUAGUCAGGGUGGGGCAAGGGGAAAGGUGAGGCGACCGGGGAGAAAGCAUGGCUGAGGCUGCUGCUGCUGUGGCGGUUGGGCACGCAACGGAUCCAAAUCCACACACGUGUGUAUGCAUAUGGCAGCUGAGGUCCCGGGGCAGGGGGUGAAUUUCUAUGCGUUUGGCGAUGCAGACCUGCUCUCCGUGCUGCUGCUCGCCCCUGCCCAUGCAUCAGUAUGUGUGACUUUCGUAGGCCAAGAGAGAUCGAGGCGUGCCACGCCGCGCAUUCAAUUAUUUUGCGGUUGCGGCCGUGUAUUUUGGGCUGAUUCUAACGGGCCUGUUUUGAUUUACGUUAUGCUAAUGCCGUGCAUUCCCGAGCGCUUCGCUCCAGAACAAGUACGAUGCAAGCCACUGUCGUUGUGGGUCGCGCUUCUGCUCUCGGCUUUCUAUUGCGUUUUGCAUAACUCGUGGGGGCCUCUGGUGCAGUCUGCCCUGGCAGAGCCGGUCCCGGCGCUCACAUUACAUAACGUGCUCCAGUUGCUUUGCCGGCGCACUGCAAACAGGCUUUUGCAAAAUUGCUGCGCUGUCUAGGCCACGAAGUGACGACGAAAGCAGACGGCUGCGUGUGUGGGACCCUGUGUUGAAACAUUAACGGAAGAAAACCGCCCAGAUGCCGGAGAUACUGGGGCCGUGUGUGAGUGCGUGUUUUGCAUUUGGGGUAUUAUCUUUGCGGGCACUGCCGCCGCCGCUGCCGCGCGGGCGGCAGCAGCUUGGCCUGGCUGUGUGGCGGCAGGGCCCUCCAGGGCUGCUCGGUGCGGGGGCAUGGCAUCCUGGGUUGCGGCGAGGCAGACACAUUCAGUGUGGGGGAGUGUAGCGCAGCACAGUGAGCGGUCUGUAGGCUGUGUGACGCGGCGCACGGCGUAAGUCGAGGCGGCGACGGAGGAUGCGCUGCGGGAGUUUGCGCCCAGUGCGCACCGUGACCAGCUGCGGUGAUGCGCAGAUAGAUGAUUGGGCAGAUGGCGGGUACAGGGAAUGGGGGGCUCCAGUGGCGUAUCGCACACGGGCGGCAAUGUUUGGAGCAUGCAGGAGGCGGAGGGACGAGGCAGGGACCGGCAUAACGACCUGUCGCAUUGCGUGCGACACAGCAUCAGAGCGCACCAAGAGGUGGCGCAUGGCGGAAGCAUGAGGGGAGGGGACGCUGCCUCCGUGUGAUUCAUGUAAGGUAGGCUGGAGCGCCCAGCGUGCGAAAUGGGCGGGAUUGCUGUACGCGGCUGGGCAGGUGUGGGGGCUGGACGCGCCUGCCCCUCCCGGCCCUGAUGGCCAGGGGUGCUGAUGGCCGCCCCAACCGGGGAUGGGCCGCGGUUCCAGACAUGCCCGCGCAGUGUCGAUAGCUACCCCAGCCACAUCUGAGCAGGUGUGAACACAGGUCGAGCCCCGAUGUGAGCAACCCGCCACGGCACAGCUCAACGCGGACCUGUCGGCUGUCGCAUACCCUGACUGCGGCAUCAUCAUGACGUCCCGGUGCUACCUCCCUGGGUGCUAGCUCAAGCCUACAACCCGCUGCAACCCUUAAAGCAUCUUCGAUAACCCGGUGUUUCCGCCUUGUUUGGCUCAGCCAGGCUCAGCACAGCCCAGGUCUCCCCACCCCAGCCCCUUGCAUGUAUGCUUAGUCCGGCUGGGGCUAUGUGUCAGCUUUCUAAGAGGGCGCAUGCACCAUGUCCGCCAUGGCCAUCCCACUCCUUCCCCGCCAGCUUUACCCUGUUCCACUGUCCGCCCUUCUUUGGGAACCCACGUGUCACACUGAUGAGUAACGGAGCGCGCUAAAGCUGACAAGCUGCCUGCUGCUGCGCUGGCUGCUGCAUCGUGGGAAGCCAACGGCCAGAGCUGUGAGUUCUGCUGCGCCCGACAGCUGGCACUUUGAUGCGAAGUCUGCUGCCAUGCAAAGCUGUAACCGCUGGCUUCAGAUCGUUGCAGUGCUGCACGACUGGCUGUUGCUGUGCAGUCCUGCCGCUGUUGCUGUAGCUGCGUAAGAGCACAUGCAAGCAGCAAUUGCGCAAACCCCGAACCCCAUCCGAAAGUCAGAGCCCCCACGCGCCAACACCGCAUGACAACACGCCCGACGAGUCAACCGGCCGCACGCGGGGACAGCAACACACGGGCACAACAUCGACGCACAAUUGGGGCAGCACCGCAAACGCCAACCGCGGCACGCCACGCUCACGCUUCAAUCACGCCCCGCUGCCCUUCUUCGGCACAACCCCACGCGGACCAGCGGGACGGCCCCUGGCCUGCUGCAGAGCGGCUGCUUCCCCAACCCCUGCUGCUGGCCGUGCUGGUGCAGGCGGCGUCGCUGCACGGGCCCAUGCAGCUCGCAGCGACCGCCGCCGUGAUGCGCUCACAGGUGGGGGGCACCGGCGCGUGAUGAACAGACACGACUGUCGCCGGCGGCAGCGCACCCGCGGCACAUGGCAGCGGGCGCGGCGGUCACACGGAGUAAACCGAGCCGCGGUGCCACACUCCGCCACGACCGCAAGCAGCACUUGCCGCCGCCGCCCACCUGCCGCCCAUGCGGCCGCCGCAUCGCGCGGCGCCGUGACGCCCUUGGCUGCGGCUGCUGCAGCUGCGCAAGCCCCUCUCCCUGUCCCUGCCCCCUCCGCUGCAGCGCUCGGAUCGAAGGCUACGGCUGUGACUGGCAGGAGCUGACUGGCGGUGCUGCGGGGCAGCAGGUUGCAAGUGCUGCGCCGCAACCGCGACCGCAGCUGGGCGCCGCCGUUGCAACUGCGGAAUAGCACACGGCCAAAUCAACUGCAUCCGCAUGCUGCAUGCCGCCACGGCGGCCAACUCGCACCACUGUCGCAGCACCACGCCGCCUGGACAUUGCUGCUGCCGCUGCAGAAGCCGCUGCGAUCCGAAGCCCCCGAGCCUGCGCGCGCUCGGAACGCCUGAGCUGCCGGCCGCCCGGCGCGGCCCUGCAGUGCACUGCGACUGUGGCGAGUUUCCUAUGCUGCCGCUGCUGCUGCCGCCACUGCUACAGCAGCCGCCCUGCAUCUGCGCAGCAGCCGCUGGCCGCCAGCACACGCCCGCCGCCAGUCCGCGCAUGGCUAGUGCACCCUCGCCCCCCCGGUGAUCAACCCAUGGCCCGCUGCUGCUGCUGCCGGUCCAGGCCCCCGUGGUCCCCGCUGAGCACCGCCGUGGCUGCUGUUGCUGCUUAAUGCGCCAGCGUCUCAAUCCCAGCCGCCUCGCCUGCCGCCGCCGUUGCUGCUGCCAUUGCGCCCAAGCACAACGGCCGCGCCGCGCGACUCAUCCGCCAGUGACUCAUCCCCAACCCCACGCCGAUUCCACGCAGCCGGCAGCCGCUCACGCUGCCGUGUAAGCUGCCCGGUGUCCGCACAACACCGCUCCCGACCACACACGAUGCAACGCCACGCACGACCGCACACACGCACCCAACACGCUCAAAACGCACCCACGCCGACGCCCGCCCGCACGCGUUCGUCCCCACCUUGGCUCGUCCAGGCCCCUCCACCUUGCCCCCUUACUCACCUUGUGAGACGAUACCCGCACAUGCACCACAGCCGCUCACGCUGCCGCUGCUACGAUAGCCAACUGCAAAUACUGCGCUAUUACACCUGCUGCUGAAUGUAAGCUGCGUCAGAGUAUUGCUGGUGCUGGUGCUGCUGCUGCUGGUACCGAGGCUGCUGCAAGACAGACACGCACACCCGCUGCUGCUGCUGCUGUCGUCCCCACGACGCGCUGCCAAACCCCAACACGACCACCGGCGGGACCUAGGGCUCGAGAAUUUUCUUAAUUUUUUGACGUUACACACGCGAACGUCGUCUUCCCGCAGGUGCAGCUCCGACUACUGUUCCUAGCUCCAAAGCGGCGGGGGUUGGGGCGGCCGGCCGCCCCCGGGGUCGGGCCAGCCCCCCCCGCCGCUGCUCCUGCGCCUCUCCACGCUUCCAGCUUCCAACCCCUGCGCGCGCCUGCGGCCGCUCGCCAGUCCCAAGGCUCCGAUGCUGCUGCUAGCUCCCGCCGAGGGCGCUUAGAACUUCAUCAGGUGCGGGCGGUCGCCGUCCUUCAGGGUGAAGCGGGUCGACAGGUAGCCCUUCAGGUCGGCCGACAGGGCCGGCAGCAGAGCGGCGUCCAGGGUCUUCUGGUUGGCGAUGUACUCCUGGCUGAGCACGUUCUUCUUCGCCUCCGACUGGUCGAAGAACUCCUUCUCGCCCUUCUUGCUCGACUUGCUCUCCACCGCCUUGAAGUAGCUGUCCGUGAACUUCGACAGGUCCAGCUUGGGCAGCGACACCUUGGUGCUGGUGCCAAUCACGUACGCGGCGUUGACGCGACGCACCGGCACACCGUUCAGCUUGAACGGGCCGGUAACGAGCAGCAGGCCCGAAGGCAGCUGGCCCAGGAAGAUGACACGCUUGCCCUUGAAGCGACCGGCCAGCAGAAUCAGCACGGUGCCUGGCGUGAUGCUGGCGCGCAGCUUGGUCUGCUUGUGCACAGCGUUGUGCGACAGAGGCUUGGGCACAUCAUCGGCGGGGUAAAAGCGGGGAGCCUUGCCCUCAGCCUGCUUGGCCACAGCCUUCUUGGCGGGCGCGGGGAACUUGCCGCCGUUCUUCUUCUUGAUCGCCCACAGACCCUUGCGCCUGCAGACAGAGAAGCGGCGGUCAGCAUUGCGGCGGCGCCCACACAGCCGAAGAGUGCGCUAUAACUACACAGGACGCUUCAACCUGCAAAGGUAUACAGGUAAACAUUGCGAGGGCCGCCGGCAACAAGCAACCCGCCGGAAAUGCGCUCACUUGUAGGUCUUGGCCCGGCCCUCAGCGGUGAUACCGCGGGCAACGAAAGUGGCGGGCUUGGCCAUGGUGCUACGUCCACCUGCUGAAAGAGAGAGAGUGGUGUUCGCCUGCCGCUGUGAAGGGUCUCGCGAGUCACAUUGCAUGGGGAAUGGGGGCGGCCGGCAUAGCCCACAUUUCCCAAUCCUAUGACGCUAAACUGGCUUUAUAUUAAUACCUUAAUACAAUAGUUGCGACAGUGAGGCUCUCUGAGGGCUAGUAGACCUAAUCGCGACCAGAUUUCUCCCGCAAGGCCGCUAUAGUAUCCGUUUACGCAUAGGACUAGCGUCAUGAGACGUAAUGGACUGUCGCCAAGCCAUCGUCCAGGACUUUCUGCGUCGGAAGCGGUUUCAGACACUCCCCAGCGUGUGCCUCCCCCACACGCCACUUGGCGGGCCGACGGCAACCGGUUCCUUUGCCCCUCUGCGCUGCAUUGCGAACAUGCCGGCGGCUGUACCUGCUCCCAGAGACUCACUCUUGGUUCAUGUGUGUGGGUGGGUUGCAGGGGUUGCAGGGACAGCAGGCUGUGAUGGCGCAGGCCGUUGCCUGGGGUCCCGCAACGGCAGUAGACAUCGACUGCAGGCCACCUACGCACAACAGCGCAGCCCAUCUCCUCUUGACAGGCUGGUAUCGCUGCUACGGUAGCCUUCUGCUGUGGCCAACUCAGCAUGCAAGAGCCUGGUCGCUGCAUCGGGGCUCAGGGUUACCCCGCGUGUGGCUGCAACGCUACCGUUCCGGGCUCGUGGCGCUAGCCCGACCGCGGCCUUCCCCUCCCCAGUGCAACCCUACACGCGCCCCCUUUCCGUCUGGCAGGAUGCUACGCAGCCCAUCACGCCUCACGCCCUGCGCCUUGGCUUCCCCAUGCAGGCAGCAGCGCUGCGCGCGGCAGGAUGGCUGGCGCCGGCGCCUCGCCGCCUUUGCAGCGCCCGCCUUUGCAGCGCCCGCCUUUGCAGCGCCCGCCUUUGCAGCGGCUUGCCAGGGCUGGGGCCUGCCAGGGCUGGGGCGGCGCCGCUGGGGCCACUCCCUCGCGCGCGGGCUGUCGCUGGCGCAGCGGCACCUGGCACAGGCACUGGCUGCGCGGGCACCGGUGCCGCAGACCGGGGCGGGCAGCGCGCGCAUGUGUGUGUGUGGGCCCCCACCGAGCGGCUGCCUGUGGGAGGCGGAUGCGGCCGGGUGUGCACGUGUGUUCAGACGGCAACGCCGGAGUAGCUGCGCCCACCGAGCUGCCCCCCGGGCGGCACGGUGCUCAUCGCGGGAUGCACGGCACACAGCAAGACACGCCGUACCGCACGACAUGCAGUACCGCACCGUGCCGGCCGAGCCCUAGCCCGGGAGCGGGACAUGCAACGCGGCGGUGGCUGCGGCGGCCUGGCGGCGGUGGCGCUAGGCAGCCUGGCGGGGAAGCCGCUGCGUUCUGUUCGUGCUCGCUGCGGCAUGAGGAUGACUGCGCCCGGUGGUUCUCACCGCCAUGCUCAACCUCGUGUCGCUCAUGCGCCUACGCUCAGUGCCUGUGGUGGUGCGCAGGCGCUUAGGGACGUGGGCAGGCGGGGAUCUUGGGCGGCGCUGGGAGAAGCUGCACGGGAGGCGGAGGGUAUGGCCACCCAUGGGCAUGGCAGGGCAGCUGGGGGCCGUUGCACCCGGCGCCAUUGCACCUGUGCCGGGCGCUGUCCAGCGUGCUGGUGUGGGCCCGGGAAAAGCCGCCAUUACACACACACACACACACACACACACACACACACACACACACACACACACACACACACACACACACACACACACGUGCAUUUGCCGUCAUGCAUGCGCCCAUGCCGUCCCCCGCCUGUUUACUUGCUCGUGGUCGCCCACCCUCCGUCUCUUUCCUAAAUCGCGCAACCCCUAGUAUAGUUAAUUGGGCUGGGACUGGGCUGCGUGUUUGCUCUUGCUCGUCGCGCGCCGCCGCGCUAACAUGUUCCUUCGCUCUUGUUCGUGACACUCCCCUGCUGCCGCCCUGUGCUCUGUUGUUUUCUUAUUCGCUCGUAGGUGAGAAUUUCAUCGAGGAUUGGGCGGGAGCUUGGACUUAGCGGCCAGGAGUAGCGACGCGGAGCUAGGAAUUGUAGGAGUGCUUGGGCCUCACGGUACCGUGAGCACAUGCAUGGGUUUGCACCCUUGAGAGCGUGUGGACACUAAUCCCCCCUCGAGGUUAGAGUAGCGGGGGUUGCGCGAUUUCCGGUUGGUAAGACCGGCGGCUCACCGCAGCAGGUAUGCGAGGUAACUUCAGGUAACAUCCGUAAACCGUCGCUUUGCUGCAUCGCAUACACUGUCUUUGCGCAACGUUUUCCUUGUGCUCUUUAACACACACACACACACACACUGCAUCGCAUACACUGUCUUUGCGCAUCGUUUUCCUUGUGCUCUUUAACACACACACACACACACACACACACACACACACAUUCACCGUCGCUUUGCUGCAUCGCAUACACUGUCUUUGCGCAACGUUUUCCUUGUGCUCUUUACACACAUUCACACACACAUUCAAACACACAUUCGUUUUUAGUGGCGAGUCUUUGCGCUUUGUUCUGGUGCUCUUUGAAAUACAGCGGCCCGCGCUCCAAACCUGCACGUGUGCCGCUGUCAGCUGUCCGCUAGCAACUUGCCGCGGACGCCGCCGUGUGUCCCUACUCCCUACACGGGCACGUGCUGAUUACCGUGCCGGGGAGGUGCGCUGAUCGUGCCCACCUACCCCGCCUACCCGCCCCGCUUGCCUCCACACCACGGGCGGCCGGGCGCUUGGCGAGCGGCCAGGUGCGGUGGCCUGCGGCCACCCUCCAUGAUGCCCUGCAUCAGUGCAUGCUAUGGCCUAAGGCGGCGCGCCGGGCUAGGGGCCCACCGUGGGGCUCACCCCAAGCUCACUCAGGUCUUAGGUGCUCGCCGCCUGUACGUGUUCCCGUGGUUGGCCUGCGGCCCUGCGGGCUACGGCCCCGCCCCCACAUGAAGCUCUUCACUUCCUCAGCCCCCCCCCAAAGUGCCACCGGGUGCCUUCAACACGGCAGCACCCCUGCCUUGCAAAGGACUCUGUGGUGAUGGAGUGACUGAGGGACUGGACCCGCGGACAAAAAGCGCUUUGGCUGGCAGCCAGUGCCUUCAGAGGUCCAGACCGUGGCUUGGUGUGUGUGGGGCACACGCUUGCGGCGUGAUGUUAAGGCUUGGAAGCUUGCGGAGUGCGUGGAGUGCGCCGCGCGGGGGCCUGGCUGAACCUAGCACUCCCAAUGUGGUAAACGCAGGUGGGUCGUGUCCAUCUGUCACCUCUGGCCUCCACUCUCAAACAUGUGCACAUAAUUAGCCUGCACGGCGUGGCUGAAAGGUACAUGGCCAUAAGCCCCCUGCAAGUUGGAGGGUGGGGGCUGGUUCGCAGGGCCGAGCCAGGUCCCGCUGCGCGCGUCGGCGCGUGCUUCCGACCCACACGCGACACGCAACCCAGCCUUGACCUGCGCUGACCCUGUGGCCAACUGUUGCGGCGGGGUCCCGCGGUUCAGUCACUGGGUGCUCAGGCUGAAAGCAAAUCGCUCCUAAUCAGUAAGCAUGAGGGUUCUCUCCUCGGCAUGUGUAGCGCUGAGAUGCUGGCAAGAACGCUGCCAAACGCAUGCAUUGCAGUUGCACGGCUUGCCUUUAACCCUCACCAAACUUCUUGCCUUCAUAGUUACGUGUGCAUAUAACUCCCUGAUUAGAGGAGCGGCCCAGGCUGUUUCCUGCUGCUUCGCUCCAGGACUCGAGCGCGCCAACUGCAGAGCCCAACCUCGCGAGCCAGGCAUGUCGUGUCUAUGGCCGUAGCAACCUUUACUCCAUUAUUCAGCUUUGUGUAAACGCCUGUAGCUGACUAAACGGCUAUCUCCGUGCUCCACGCGUGCAGGCCAGCAUGCCAGCGGGUGAGCGGCCCAACGCGGGCCCUGGUGGCGAUGCGUCCGCGGCUAAGGCGGCAUCUCAAGGAGGGCAGCAGCAACAGCAGACCACGCCGGUCCUGAGCUGGAACGGGGAUACGCAAGUGGCCAUGUUCAUCACGGUCCUGCUGCUCCUUAACCUGAUGAAAUGGGUAGGUUAAACUGUUCUUGAGCAGCCUCUGGGUGCUCAUGUGCAGCGUGCAAUUGUGGCGACAAGUUUGCUGCCGGGCCGCUGCGUCGGCCCUUCCCAUGUCCGCCACCUUCCGCUCCUCCCCCGUCUGCCCCGCUUUACAGGCCAUGACCCCGCCAUGCACUUGCUGAGCAGCAAGCAGCUGGCCGCGGCUGAUGCCUCGGCCGCAGCGCUGGCUGGCUCCCUGCCUGCGCCCCGCGGCUGCGCAGGCGAGCCACAGCAGCAGCAGCAGCGCAGCAGCAGCAGCAGCCGCGUGGCUGUACGAUUGCAAACUGUACCAUAAUCUGCUGCGCGCAGACGACCGAAGCAGCUCUACUGUUUAUAUUAUUAUCUGUGCCUCCUGGCACCUGCUUGUGGCGGGUCCUAUUGUGGCGCUGCUGCGUGUCCGGUGCGGGGGGGAGGGGGGCCGCGCGUGUGCUGCCAGUCGGUUGCACGAUGCCUGAUAGGUCCGCUGCUAAGGUUACUUGGCGCAGGGCUGCUGGGGGGUUACAGCGGAUGGUUAAGAUGGGCGGCCCGCGUGGGGCGGGGCAGGUGUGCCGCAGCCGCGCCGUCACCAGCCACCACCCGCAGCACCUGCGCUGGAGUACCCACGAGAGUGCGGGAAGAAAUGUUGUCAGUACCCAUGGUGUGAUUCUAACCGUUAUAUUGUAUUGGGUGUUGGGUGCCACCGUGUGCUGUCCAUUGUGCUGGUGUUCGCUGGCAGCACAGCCAAGAGGCAGCGUUGACAGAAUGACUGAGAGAUGCAUCCGUCGCACCCAGCAGUGACCCUUGACAGAUUACGUUCGAUGUGCUUUCCUCCGACACCUCCUUGUUACCUUAACUUGUUGCACAAUGACAGCGUGAGAUGCAUGCUGGAAAUGCAGGGACCGCAAAGCAAUGUUGGACUGUUGCAGUAGCGUAGGAGCAGGUAGAUGCACUGGCAUCGUAGUGUGAGGGCUCCUUACAUCCGGGUAUCGGCAGGUCACAGUUCUGGGUGUUGCAGCUGCUAGUAUGUAAUGCUACCAGAAUCACGUGCCGACUCGUCCACUUUCCGUGGGGAGCUCAAGGACUGGCCGUGGACGGAGUGCGUUCGGCUGAGAGCAGUGUUUGCAGCACGACAGCAGCAGGGCGGGUCAGGGGUCAAGGGUGCCCACAAGUGGCCCUCCGUGUACUAGUGUGUACUCCAGUGGCGAGGUCAGGGUGUGUGAGGCCGGAGCCUGAGUGCCUGACGCACAGCAAUAUGGGCAUAACGGUUAGCCCGCCCAACAGCCACUCCCAGCCCUCAACAGGCCACAAAGCCAGCAGUCUUCAUGCACGUGACCAACAUUCACGCAUGGAGAUGUACUUGUGUUGUGCCAUGUAAAACGCACGCGGCGAGCCGUUUGCGGCGCCAAUUGCAACGCACAUUGCAAACCUGUACAAGGAAGGCGAGGCUGGGGCCCCAAGCUAGCCCAACGCACACAAGAACGCACACACGAAACACGCCCGGCACAAACCGCUUAACCUAUUUCCGUUUCUGGCCCGACGUUCCUUUAGCGGGUUACACCUUAACUCAACCUGCCUUAUACCCUGUCCCAUCGCACGUUGCUUCGUUUUGCACGGUGGCCAUGUCCGCAGUGAGCCCGGACUGUAGGUCCGCCCCGCUCCGCCCGGCACUUGCCAACGGCUCCUUACCCGUGCCCACGCUCACUCCACACUCCACAUUUUGACUCCCCGCGCCUCAUACACACCUUGCUCACACGGCGUCAGCAGCGCCCACGCAUGCCUCCGACAAAAUUGGGCUCCGCGCUCGCGGCUCUGCUGCGUACAGCAAUGGCCCUGCGGCGUGCCUGACGCCGACAGCCAAUCCGAAACUGCACGCGCACAUCUCAUUUGGCACUUGAGCAAGCACCAUGCGACCCCGCAUUCGUUCAACCAGUCUUCCAAAUUGCACGCCUCAUAUUCCUCACCCCGCGCUUGGUUCACCCCAGUCCCCCAAGGCAUCGCGUGCCGCCCUUGCGGCGCCCGCCCUUGCGGGCCCCAGACCUUCAACACUCGGCCCCCACAGCACCCGGGCCCGCCCAACAGCCCCUCUGCAGCGGCAGGCCACUCGGCCGCCGCGCGCACACGCUCAAGCACACCUAUCUAGCUUCGCGCUUCGCUUCCUAACACCCCUUAGGUAUUACAACUACGUACCCGGGAGCAACCCACGGCCGUGCAGUCACACCGCCGUGAUUUCAUAGCACGUCCGACACUCCAACGCGCCACUACACAAACAGCAAACAACACCAAGUCCCAGUCCAACUCCUCUAUAUAGCAUGUAAAAAGAAGACGGCCGCUUCCCGGCAUUAACAACUCACGAGGGAAAAGGAUUUAGUGCUCAUCCCCUCAGCGCCAAGCUGCGGGCCGCAACCCAGCUGCUACUGAGGACCUCUUCAGCUGCAGAUCUCACAGCAGCUCAGCUUUGCGGAUCUCUCCAGCAGCAACUCAGCUGUGGGUCUUGAUCUCCUCCUCGCCCAGCAGCAGCUCAGCUGUUGAUCUUGAUCUCCUCCUCGCCCAGCAGCACCAGGCGCCGGAAGUGGCCCAGCGCCCAGAUGGGGAAGAUGUUGCUGCGGCGGCAGGGAGGGGAGGGAGGGGGGUUACAUUCAUGAUUAGUUAAGAAGUGGGGAAGGGGGGAAGGGAUGAAGGAGGAAGAGGGGUAAGAGUGGGCGUUGCAGGUUCAGGACGGAGGGGGGUUUACAAUCAUGACUAGCGAUGGGGUGCGGGGCUGGGCCAGGAAGGAGGGGCGGAGGCUGCGGGCGAGGGUCAAAUGACGUGGUCCCAUGCCCAGGGGCUCAGGCGGCCGGUUGAGGCACGAAAGGACGCAGGUGGGCAAGUGCGAGGGAUGGACUGUGGGUCGGAGCUCCCACUUAGCUGCGCGAAGCAAAUUGGGCCGGGCUGGGCUGGGCUGGGCCACACGGGUGGGCCUGGACCCGGGAGCUGAGCGGAGGUGCCGCCAGCCUCCCCCCUUCAUUAGUAAUCAUGAAUGUAACCCCCCUCGCCGGAGGCCCCCCCCGCUUGUGCGGGCCUGCCUGCCUGCCUGCCUGCCCGCCUGCCUGCCUGCCUGCCUGCCUGCCCGCCUCACCGGUAGUUGGCGUAGGUGAUCAUGCAGUUGCGGUUGAACACGCCGCUGAUGUGCUGCUGCGGCCAGUCGCCGCUGGGCUGCUGCAUGCGCAUCAGGAACACGGCGCCGCGCCGCAGCGGCUCCGGGUCCACCUGGGGCGAGGGGGGCGGGUGUGUGGGGGGCCGCGUGUGUGUAUGUGUUGACGAGGCCCGCCAAGGCGCUUUGUGCAUGUGCGUGUGUGUUGAGAUUACGCCUCUGCGGUGGCCGCCCCAGCUCAGCCCAACCCCACCUGUACGUGCCCCAUGCCCACCACCCCUCCCACCUACCGUCCCACCACCGUGCCACUGUCGCGCACAUGUUCAUGGCAGCGCUGUUCAUGUGUUGACGCUGCCGCCCGUGCCCCUAACACACAUGCCCUGAACCCCCACCCACCCACCCACACCCAACCACACAUCGACACACAAACACAAACACACUCGCCCCCUCCCCCUCACCUUGUGGUAUCCCACCGCCAUGAGCGCCAACAUGGCCCAGGCCGUGUUCACCACGUGGCUGUCCCCCUCCAGGUGGCUGUACACCUGGGGGGGUGUGAGAGUGUGUGUGUGUAUGGUUGUUCAAGGCACACGGAAAAACAAGCGCUCAGACUGAAUAUGCGAUGCAGCCACGGCAAACGAAACGAGUGACCCUGUGCACUUGAUAGUCUGUCGUGUGACCACCGCCCAUCCUAUGCCCUCCUCCCCCUCCUCCCUCCUCCCUCCCUCCUCCUCCCCCUCCUCCUCCCUCCCUCCUCCCCCUCCCGCCCCACCUUGUCCUGGCAGCUGAGGUAGCUCUCGCCCCAGCCGCCGUCCGCCCGCUGCUUGUCCGCCAGGAAGGCCGCGCACCGCCGCAGCGCCUCGUCGUUGGCGUACGUGUGCCCCAGCGCCGCCAGCCCAGUGGCGCCGAACCAGCAAGCGUAGGUGAAGCACACGCCCCAGGAGCCGUACCUGCGCAGGAGGAGGGAGGAGGCGGGGGAGGGGGGGAGAGGGGAGAGGGAGGGGUUGUUGAUACCAGCCCGAACUAAACCGAACCGCGCCAAAGUAGCGGAGCGCAGGCAGAGGCGGCAGUUGCGAGGGGGAGGGGAGGGAGGGGUUGUGUAUACCAGCCCAAGCUGGAACAAGGGAAUUCAGCGAAGCACAGGCGCAGGCACAGCACGGGGGGGUGGAGGUAAGGGAGUGUUGGUUGAAGACCAUUCACAGUACUGUGGGAAACCGGAGGCACGGGAAAUGCAGGACAAGACAAGACAGGCUAAACCCGUGGGUGUAGAGGUGUUGACGAAGAGUAGAACCCGGGAUAGCCGCCCUUGCACUCAUUCUGUUUGUUCCCUUCGACGCGGUCUCUCCAAACCUACCAGGAGCCGUCCUUGCGCUGGAUGGAGCGGAUGAAGGCCUCGGCCCGCUUGAGGGAGGCGGCGAUCUCCGCGGCCCGGUGGCCGGGGUGCUGCCUGUGUGUGUGUGCGUGUGGGGGGGGUGCGUGUGUAGGAGUGCGGGUGAGCAGGUGACGGAGCAGGCGCAGGUUGGGACAGGGUGGGAUCAGGACCCAGGACUCCGGCCCCAACACAUUCUACCAUGGACACACAUGCGCAACAUGCACACGUACGCACACACGUACACAGUCACACACUCGCACACACAGUCACACACAGUCACACAAUUCCGCACCCCUUCCCACACGCUCACUGCCCCCCACCCACCCCAUCCCCCGUUCUCUCACUUCCUGAAGCUGCACAGCGCGGUGAUGCAGGCGCUGGUGCACUCGACGUAGCUGUAGUCCACGAUGAUGUCGCCAAACGUCUCGGCGGGGUUCAGGAUCUGGGGGGGAGGAAGGGAUGGGGGGUGGUUGGGGGAGGGUUGCGGGUUGGGGGCGUGGAGGGGCCCCGGCAGGGGGCGGGGAUGGUUGGGGAGUUACAGCUAAGGUAAGGGGGGGCGGGCGGCUGGGGGAGUAGAACACCGCCCCACCGACACCCACAACCACACCCACACACGCACACGCACACGCACACCCCCCCCCCACACCCACACACACCCACACACAGACACGCCUAUGCUUUGCUGCAUCGCAUACACUGUCUUUGCGCUAUGUGUUCCACGUGCGCUAUGCUUUCCAUGUGCUAUUUAAACACCAACCUCUCCCCCCCCCCACCGCCCGCCCCGCCCCGCCCCGCCCCCACCUCCAGCCAGUGGAAGCUGCGCGUGUUCUCGUACGUGGCCAUGCCGCCGUCCCGGUUCUGGUAGCUCAGGAUGACGUUGACGCAGUCGUACAGCCGCUCGGGCGAGAUGGCGGGGCCCACCUGCGGGGGUUGGCGCGUGUGUGUAUUGUAGGUGUGGGUGUGCGAUGGGACAGUGGUAAGGCAGGUUGGUAAAGUCCCGUAGGUUGGGAGGUGAAGCACCCACCGCAUCCACCGGCCAGCCAGCCACCGCUCUACCCGCACGUGGCUUCCGGGGAAGUCAUCAGGGUUAACUUGAACAAUCUCUUACGCCCAAGAUCUUUAAUGACAUUACGCUCAACCCGCCCCCCCCCUCCCAGCCACCCCCACCCGCCCAUGCCGCCCCUCCCGCCACCAGCUCCUCCGGCAACAGCGCCAGUGUGAGCGCCGCCUUCAGUCCCUCGCACACAUAUGCACACACACACAACCAACCCGCUCCCCACAUUCCCUCCCACCCCCGCCCCCAAUCUCCCCCCUUUCUUCCCACCAGCUCCUCUGGCAGCAGCGCAAGCGUGAGCGCCGCCUUCAGUCCCUCGCUGGAGCAGUCGGAGAUGGGCCAGCCGUGGUCGCGCGAUGAGAAGGGCCAGGCGCCCUUGCUGAUGUGGCGGUAGUAGGCGGACAGCGGCGCCGCGGCCUCCUCAAUCACCUGUGCGCGGAGGGAGGGAGGGAGGGUGAGGGCGGAGGUGAGGGUGGAAGUGUGGGUGGAGGUGUGGGUGGAGGUGUGGGUGGAAGUGACCUCCACUAACAAAUACACUUUAACACUUCUCUACACACGCACACACAACCCACGUAGCAAGGAAGUGACUCCGGCGCCGUUUUGUUAUUGUAUCCUAACACACACCCUCCGCCGCCCCCCCUUCCGCACCUGGCUCUGCUCCACGUACUCGUGCGCCUUGCGCAGGCAGUGGCCCGACACCUGCAGCAGCCCGGCCUCGGCGAUGGCCUGCGCUCGUGCGAGUGAUAUUAUUGGAGGGAUCACAUUCAUAAGUAGUUAAGGAAAUGGUAGACGGUAGACCAUCUUGCGGAACAUGAAGCGUUCGGGGGGGGGCGGGUUGGGAUGGGAGAGAAAUGGGUUGCGUCUUGGCGUGUAGCACCAGCAAUCAAUACUGGAGCGGUGGGCUGCAACCCACAACAACUUGAGCCGGCCGCGAAGCAGCCCUUCCACGAAAAGCUACCUCCCUCUCACUCGGGAUUGGGAAAGCUACAACCCCCGCCCCAGUGCCCUCACUCCCUCACCCACCACCCAGCCUCCCCCUCCCCCUCCCCCUCCCCCUCCCCNNNNNNNNNNNNNNNNNNNNNNNNNNNNNNNNNNNNNNNNNNNNNNNNNNNNNNNNNNNNNNNNNNNNNNNNNNNNNNNNNNNNNNNNNNNNNNNNNNNNCCUCCCCCCCUCCCCCACCCUCCCCCCCUCCCUCCUGCCCGCACCUGCACUGCGAAGCUGGUGUCCCACAGUUGGCUGCCGUUGUAGCCCUGCAUCUUCAGCCCGUCCUCCGCCACCCACAGGUAGUCGUGCACACGGGGCAGGUGCCUGGCGGGUGGGUGGUGGGUGGUGGGGUUGGGGGGUGGGGGUGGGGGUGGGGGUGGAGGUUCGGAGAACUUUGACAUGAAGUGGUAGAGCGUGAGCAGCACUUGCAACGAUUGGAGGAGCGGGAGUGGGAGGGUGUGAGUUGGGAGGAGGAAGGGGAGUCGGAGUGCGGAGGAGGAAGGUGAAUGUGGUCAAUGGGGAAUGGGUGGUGUGUGCAGCGUGCGUGCCAGUGUGUGUCUCCUCCUCCUUCCUCCACCCCCCCUGCCCCCCCUCACUUCUGGAAGGCCUUGCCGCCGGGCUCCUCCAGCCAGCAGGCCAGCAUGUUGAUCACCUUGUUGACAGGCCCGAUGUCCACAUAGCGCGUGUUCUC